rnacentral:rRNA from 1 species
AUUGAACGCUGGCGGCAGGCCUAACACAUGCAAGUCGAACGAGUGGCGGACGGGUGAGUAAUGUCUGGGAAACUGCCUGAUGGAGGGGGAUAACUACUGGAAACGGUAGCUAAUACCGCAUACCAUCAGAUGUGCCCAGAUUGGAUUAGCUAGUUGGUUGGGUAACGGCGCCCCAAGGCGACGAUCCCUAGCUGGGCUGAGAGGAUUACCAGCCACACCGGAACUGAGACCCGGGCCAGACUCCUACGGGAGGCAGCAGUGGGGAAUAUUGCACAAUUGGCUGAAGCCUUGUGCAGCAAUGCCGCGUGUAGUAAGGAGGCCUUCGGGUUGUAAAGUACUUUCAGCGGGGGAACGGUAACCGAAGAAGAAGCACCGGCUAACUCCGUGCCAGCAGCCGCGGUUAUAC